UGCAAGCAUCUGUGGAAGUUUAAAUCGACAAGAAAUAUCUGCCUCAGAAACUGUACUACCAACGGAACGAACUGUUAUUGCUUGCAUCGCUUCGAAAUUCCGCCUUACUUCCUAUGGUCCUAUGCUCGCGGGUUGGAUUCCUUACACGAGCGCCAAAUUACCCAGCUGCAAUUAUAAUGAGAACAAUAUACUGUUAUAUAAAGCAAUAAAGUCAGGCAUUGAGCUGUCAAUUUUCAGAGCUGCCCGUUAUUAUAAAGAUAAAUUUAAUUUUAUAUACAAAAAUUGCGUUUUUCCGAUAAAAUAUGCUGAUAAAACUUUUCCUCACUUUGAAAGGUAAAGCUUUAUAGAUAGGACAUAUUA